AUAUUUAGAGAUGGAUACUACAACCUGGCCGAGGACAACAGUGUGGCAAAUAUCGCACUUCAAGAAAAAAUAGAUCAGCUAGAGCUAGAGAAAAAGCUGCUGGUCUUACAAAAGGAAGUUUCGGAGAUGAAACUACAAAGCAAAGCAGAGAAAAACGAACCUGAUUUUAAGACGAUCGAGAGUUUGGUUCCCCCGCUCAGCGGACAAAAUGGCGUCGAUAUUGUGAUGUGGUUCGAAGAACUGGAAAGAGUUUUUGGAUUGCUCAGCGUUGACGAAAAACAGAAGCUGGUAACAACCCUUCGACUGCUUUCUGGGACAGCUCAAGAAAUUGCUCGUUCGUCGGGACUAUUCGACUACAGCUCUCUGAAACAAACGCUCUAGGGUAUUAUCAGAGCCAAUGUCAACGACCUCAACGUCCCUAUGGAUCGUGCCUUCGGUGUUCACAGACGGGCCAUUCACAUCGAGAAUGUCCAAGCCGUAGUAAAAUACCAGCCGCCGCUGUGAAUCCAACAAACGAGGACUCGGGCUUUUUACAACAAAUUCAAGCCAUGCAGGAGGAAGCCCCAGAAGUUUUAUAAAUGAAAAUUUGGUUCCUCCAUGCCUCUUGAAACAACCGGAAAAUUCAGGAUAUUGCGGUUUAGGUAACAGUGCGCUACUAUCGCUUGGACAAACUGAUUGUCGAAUUAAACAUCAAAAUAAUGAAAAAAUACAUGAGUUUAUUAUCUUACCGAAAAA